rnacentral:rRNA from 1 species
AACGAACGCUGGCGGCGUGCCUAACACAUGCAAGUCGAGCGCGAAUGGAGCAAUCCUAGUAGAGCGGCGCACGGGUGCGUAACACGUGGAUAAUCUGCCUGGGAGCCUGGGAUAACCAGUCGAAAGAUUGGCUAAUACCAGAUAAGCCCACAGGGACUUCGGUCCUCGAGGGAAAAGGUGGCCUCUGUAUACAAGCUAUCACUUCUAGAUGAGUCCGCGGCCCAUCAGCUAGUUGGCGGGGUAAUGGCCCACCAAGGCAACGACGGGUAGCUGGUCUGAGAGGACGAUCAGCCACACUGGAACUGAGACACGGUCCAGACUCC